UACGGAGGGUGCGAGCGUUGUCCGGAAUCACUGGGCGUAAAGGGCGCGUAGGUGGCGCGGAAAGUCAACGGUGAAAGUUCGGGGCUCAACCCUGAAUCGGCCGUCGAUACUGCUGCGCUUGAGCACUGUAGAGGCAGAUGGAAUUCCGGGUGUAGCGGUGGAAUGCGUAGAGAUCGGAAAGAACACCAACGGCGAAAGCACUCUGCUGGGCCGACACUGACACUGAGAGACGAAAGCUAGGGGAGCGAAUGGG
rnacentral:rRNA from 1 species